GUCUACAGCCAUACCACCCUGAACACGCCCAAUCUUGUCUGAUCUCGGAAGCUAAGCAGGGUGGGGCCUGUUAGUACCUAGAUGGGAGAAACACUGGAGAGUACUUU
ensembl:rRNA 5S_rRNA 5S ribosomal RNA